GGGUUAAGUCCGUACGAGCGCAACCCUUGUCCUUAGUUACCAGCACGUUAUGGUGGGCACUCUAAGGAGACUGCCGGUGACAACCGGAGGAAGGUGGGGAUGACGUCAAGUCAUCAUGGCCCUUACGGCCUGGGCUACACACGUGCUACAAUGGUCGGUACAAAGGGUUGCCAAGCCGCGAGGUGGAGCUAAUCCCAUAAAACCGAUCGUAGUCCGGAUCGCAGUCUGCAACUCGACUGCGUGAAGUCGGAAUCGCUAGUAAUCGUGAAUCAGAAUGUCACGGUGAAUACGUUCCCGGGCCUU
rnacentral:rRNA from 1 species